rnacentral:rRNA from 1 species
UACGGUGGGGGCAAGCGUUGUUCGGAAUUACUGGGCGUAAAGGGCUCGUAGGUGGCCAACUAAGUCAGACGUGAAAUCCCUCAGCUUAACUGGGGAACUGCGUCUGAUACUGGAUGGCUUGAGUUUGGGAGAGGGAUGCGGAAUUCCAGGUGUAGCGGUGAAAUGCGUAGAUAUCUGGAGGAACACCGGUGGCGAAGGCGGCAUCCUGGACCAACACUGACACUGAUGAGCGAAAGCCAGGGGAGCAAACGGG